UGCAACUUAUAAGUUCAGGACAAGCUGAAAAAUCAACGAGCUUCAGCUCUUCCAUGAUGAGAAUUUUUCAGCGUGGUCUUUUGCGUCAGAGAGAUAAAAAAGCUCCAAGAUUAACUGAGAGUGGUUUCCAAUUCUUGUUGAUGGAUACAAAUGCUCAGCUUUGGUAUAUUAUCAGAGAGUAUAUCUCCAAUUCAAAGGUAUAUUUGAUGAGAUAAUUAUUGUGUUCUGCUUGGAACUUGUUUGUUAGAGCUAUUUUGUUUUGCUGUUGUUAAGUUCUUGAAGGGGAAAUUGGCAUGAAUUUAUUGUAAA